rnacentral:rRNA from 1 species
GAUGAACGCUGGCGGCGUGCCUAAUACAUGCAAGUCGAACGAAACUUCUUUAUCACCGAGUGCUUGCACUCACCGAUAAAGAGUUGAGUGGCGAACGGGUGAGUAACACGUGGGCAACCUGCCCAAAAGAGGGGGAUAACACUUGGAAACAGGUGCUAAUACCGCAUAACCAUAGUUACCGCAUGGUAACUAUGUAAAAGGUGGCUAUACUACCGCUUUUGGAUGGGCCCGCGGCGCAUUAGCUAGUUGGUAGGGUAAAGGCUUACCAAGGCAAUGAUGCGUAGCCGAAUUGAGAGGUUGAUCGGCCACAUUGGGACUGAGACACGGCCCAAACUCCUACGGGAGGCAGCAGUAGGGAAUCUUCCACAAUGGGCGAAAGCCUGAUGGAGCAACGCCGCGUGGGUGAAGAAGGUCUUCGGAUCGUAAAACCCUGUUGUUAGAGAAGAAAGUGCGUGAGAGUAACUGUUCACGUUUCGACGGUAUCUAACCAGAAAGCCACGGCUAACUACG